UUAGCAUGCGCCUUAUUUCUGAACAAGCGCUUCAAAUGUGGUAUUACAGGAAAAUACCAUACCAAGCUACUAUCCAGAUGAACCCUAGACAACACUUAGGACUAUACGCCAGCGGAAGCAUCCUGCAAAGGCCAACACCACAGGCAACGUUGGGUGUGGAAGCAACCUCCUACUCGAUAUCCUCGAUGAUGAAAUUUGGAUCUUCCUCUGAAGCAACAAAACAAGAGUGAGUAAAAAAGUACUCAACAAGUACAACCCCAUCCACGGAGGAGGAUACAAUCAAGGAUAUGCAUAGUAUAUAUCAAGGAUAAGGCUAAGGUUUAUCUGUAAUAAAGUUAGAUUUUAACACAUGCAAGGGUUUAGUUUGAAAGGGUUUUCGCAAAGCAUUUCUUUAGUAACCGAAUCAUUAAGUGGGGUUGAUCCCAUACAAAGGAUCCAAGUUUUAAUACUAUCAGACUCCCCGUUCGCAAUAACUCAUGGCACAACUGCCGAACACUUCCAAAAUCCAACACACGCCGUGAAAACCAUCCAUCUCCC
rnacentral:lncRNA from 1 species